AUUAGAUACCCUGGUAGUCCACGCCGUAAACGAUGUCGACUUGGAGGUUGUGCCCUUGAGGCGUGGCUUCCGGAGCUAACGCGUUAAGUCGACCGCCUGGGGAGUACGGCCGCAAGGUUAGAACUCAAAUGAAUUGACGGGGGCCCGCACAAGCGGUGGAGCAUGUGGUUUAAUUCGAUGCAACGCGAAGAACCUUACCUGGUCUUGACAUCCACAGAACUUUCCAGAGAUGAAUGUGUGCCUUCGGGAACUGUGAGACAGGUGCUGCAUGGCUGUCGUCAGCUCGUGUUGGGGAAUGUUGGGUUAAGUCCCGCAACGAGCGCAACCCUUAUCUUUUGUUGCCAGCGGUCCGGCCGGGAACUCAAAGGAAACUGCCAGUGAUAAACUGGAGGAAGGUGGGGAUGACGUCAAGUCAUCAUGGCCCUUACGACCAGGGCUACACACGUGCUACAAUGGCGCAACCAAAGAGAAGCGACUUCGCGAGAGCAAGCGGACCUCAUAAAGUGCGUCGUACGAUGGAUUUGACUCAUCGAACUCGACUCCAUGAAGUCGGAAUCGCUAGUAAUCGUGGAUCAGAAUGCCACGGUGAAUACGUUCCCGGGCCUUGUACACACCGCCCGUCACACCAUGGGAGUGGGUUGCAAAAGAAGUAGGUAGCUUAACCUUCGGGAGGGCGCUUACCACUUUGUGAUUCAUGACUGGGGUGAAGUCGUAACAAGGUA
rnacentral:rRNA from 1 species